GAACGCUAGCGGCAGGCCUAACACAUGCAAGUCGAGGGGCAGCAGACCGCUUCGGUGGUGCUGGCGACCGGCGCACGGGUGAGUAUCGCGUUUGUAACCUACCCUUAACUGGGGCAUAGCCCGAAGAAAUUCGGAUUAAUACCCCAUAAUAUUUAAACACGGCAUCGUGUUUUCAUUAAAGUUCCGAUGGUUAAGGAUGGGCAUGCGUGACAUUAGUUUGUUGGUGAGGUAACGGCUCACCAAGACUACGAUGUCAAGGGGGUCUGAGAGGAUGAUCCCCCACACUGGUACUGAGACACGGACCAGACUCCUACGGGAGGCAGCAGUGAGGAAUAUUGGGCAAUGGACGCAAGUCUGACCCAGCCAUGCCGCGUGCAGGAUGACGGCCCUAUGGGUUGUAAACUGCUUUUAUACAGGAAGAAACCCUCUGACGUGUCAGAGGUUGACUGUACUGUAAGAAUAAGCAUCGGCUAACUCCGUGCCAGCAGCCGCGGUAAUACGGAGGAUGCAAGCGUUAUCCGGAUUCAUUGGGUUUAAAGGGUGCGCAGGCGGGGCAAUAAGUCAGUGGUGAAAUCCUGCGGCUUAACCGUAGAACUGCCAUUGAUACUGUUGCCCUUGAGUAUAGUUGAGGUGGGCGGAAUAUGUAAUGUAGCGGUGAAAUGCAUAGAUAUUACAUAGAACACCAAUUGCGAAGGCAGCUCACUAAGCUAUCACUGACGCUGAGGCACGAAAGCGUGGGGAGCGAACAGGAUUAGAUACCCUG
rnacentral:rRNA from 1 species